UACGUAGGCAGCGAGCGUUGUUCGGAGUUCCUGGGCGUAAAGGGUGUGUAGGCGGUUGUUUAAGUUUGGUGUGAAAUCUCCCGGCUCAACUGGGAGGGUGCGCCGAAUACUGAAUGACUUGGAGUGCGGGAGAGGAGAGUGGAAUUCCUGGUGUAGCGGUGAAAUGCGUAGAUAUCAGGAGGAACACCGGUGGUGUAGACGGCUCUCUGGACCGUAACUGACGCUGAGACACGAAAGCGUGGGUAGCAAACAGG
rnacentral:rRNA from 1 species